GCGUAUAUUAGCUUUUAUAACAGAAAUAAAUUAAACAUCUAAGCGUUCGUCUAUGUGCUAAUUCAGUUUCAAUUUUACCUUCUUAUAAACAAAUACAUAAUGGCACAAACUCGUCUGCUUGUAUUAUCGCUUGCUUUGUCUUGCUUAUUCGUCUUAUCUGUAUACUGUCAGGAGGUUGCGUUCGCUGGGAACGUCCCAGGAUCAGCAGGUGUCAAUGGACAACCAGCACAAGUUUUUGUAGCCAACGGCAAUAGCCAGCCCCAGCAAACAGUUGCUGCUGUUUCUCAGCCUCUUGCUACUGCUGCCGUUGCUCAACCUCUUGCUACUGCUGCCGUUGCCCAACCAGUCCAAACCUUACCUGUUGCCACUGCUACCACAGCCGCGGUACCCACACAGACUGUUGCUACUCAAACAGCCCUUCCACAAGCUACUACUAGUGCAAACAGUGGCGAGCUCCUUCUUACUAGUGGUGUAGAAUCUAGCUACAUUUUGCCUGCUUCAUUGAUUACUGGACUCGCUUUAAUCACUGUUAUGUAGACAAGUUAAAUUUGAAUCGAAUAUGAAAAGCUGAGCAAAAAAAUUGUUUCCGCUUCAAACACCCAUCGAAUUCAAUAAAGCGUUAGUAAAUUAGAAUUGAAAA